rnacentral:rRNA from 1 species
GAUGAACGCUGGCGGCGCGCCUAACACAUGCAAGUCGAACGGUUAAAGCACCUUUUAGGUGUGUAUAAAGUGGCGAACGGCUGAGUAACACGUGGGCAACCUGCCCUCCUCUUGGGGAUAGCCUCGGGAAACCGAGGAUAAUACCCGAUACUUCAAUGUGGCCGCAUGACGACAUUGAGAAAGCUUUUGCGGAGAAGGAUGGGCCCGCGGCCUGUUAGCUUGUUGGUGGGGUAGAGGCCUACCAAGGCAAUGAUGGGUAGCUGGGUUGAGAGACCGACCAGCCAGAUUGGGACUGAGACACGGCCCAGACCCCUACGGGAGGCAGCAGUGGGGAAUCUUGCACAAUGGGCGAAAGCCUGAUGCAGCGACGCCGCGUGCGGGACGAAGGCCUUCGGGUUGUAAACCGCUUUCAGCAGGGACGAGGCGAUAAGUGACGGUACCUGCAGAAGAAGCCCCGGCUAACUACGUGCCAGCAGCCGCGGUAAUACGUAGGGGGCAAGCGUUAUCCGGAUUCAUUGGGCGUAAAGCGCUCGUAGGCGGUCUGUUAGGUCGGGAGUUAAAUCCGGAGGCUCAACCUCCGCCCGCUCCCGAUACCGGCAGACUUGAGUUUGGUAGGGGAAGGUGGAAUUCCUAGUGUAGCGGUGGAAUGCGCAGAUAUUAGGAAGAACACCAGUGGCGAAGGCGGCCUUCUGGGCCAUAACUGACGCUGAGGAGCGAAAGCUAGGGGAGCAAACAGG